GGGGGUGUCCUGGCUUCGACGGGGGUAGUGAGAUAGUUGAGUGCAUGCCGAGGGGGCAGCUUUCCUCGUUAAUCCAGCGGCAAAACUCAUAGUUGCCAACGACGACAACUACGCUCUCGCCGCUUAAGGCGUAGCCCCGAACCUGCUUGUGCUCGUGCUCGCAGAUGUAGGGUCAUUAUCACGAGAUCGCCAAUAGACUGCGGCUUGUCGGUCCUAGGCUAGAUAAAACAAGCUGGUUCCCUGGCGCGCUUUGCACGCCGUGCUGUCAGGGGACGAGAUUCAACGGCGAGCUAAGCAUGUAGUACUUGGCGUCAAGCGCCUUCGGACGGCGGUUCGACUCCGCCCACCUCCACCA
rnacentral:tmRNA from 1 species